CGAGUUUGAUCAUGGCUCAGAUUGAACGCUGGCGGAAUGCUUUACACAUGCAAGUCGAGCGGCAGCGCGGGGGCAACCCUGGCGGCGAGCGGCGAACGGGUGAGUAACAUAUCGGAACGUACCCAGUCGUGGGGGAUAACUAUCCGAAAGGAUAGCUAAUACCGCAUACGUCCUGAGGGAGAAAGGCGGGGGAUCGCAAGACCUCGCGCGAUUGGAGCGGCCGAUAUCGGAUUAGCUAGUUGGUGGGGUAAAGGCUCACCAAGGCGACGAUCCGUAGCGGGUCUGCGAGGACGACCCGCCACACUGGAACUGAGACACGGUCCAGACUCCUACGGGAGGCAGCAGGUGGGGUAAUUUUGGACAAUGGGGGCAACCCUGAUCCAGCCAUUCCGCGUGAGUGAAGAAGGCCUUCGGGUUGUAAAGCUCUUUCAGCAGGAACGAAACGGUGGUCCCUAAUACGGACUACUAAUGACGGUACCUGAAGAAGAAGCACCGGCUAACUCCGUG
rnacentral:rRNA from 1 species